rnacentral:lncRNA from 1 species
UAUACUUGCAAAUCAAACAUUUUAUUGACAAAUGCAACUUUUCGGUCAAGACAUACAGAAAAGGAAGUGAAUUUAUGGGAUCACAUGAACAGCGUGUGUGAAAUAGCUUGUCUGGACUUCCUCAACUCAAAGCCAAAGGGGUACUCCCGGGGCGAAUGGCAUUGAUCUACGCAGUCCGGUUCCUGUGUGUGUGUGUUGUAACUCUUGACUGUAUGUGAGGGGGGUUUUAGCUAUAUUGCAAAGUUUUUGUUUUUAUGGCCUUUUACCCACGAGACUCGGCGUGUCGAACGGGAUGGAGACCUCAUGACUGCAGUCUGGGGCGGCACGUCCCCUUCCUCUCCCCCCUCCUACCCCAUUACCCUCCUCCUCUCCUUUUCUCCCCUUCCCUCCUCUCUGUGUAUCUCCUUUGUCUGAUACGAGGUUGGGCUCCACGCCCCAUUCAUGUCAUGUGCUGCUCAUCACCAUCGCAUGGCAACAACACACACAAUAACGUGUGUUUAUGUCUCUGACUGGUAGUCUGUGUCUCGGGAAUGUAUUUUGAAUGUGAACGUCACAUUGAGCAUUUUGCUAUCUUGUGUGUGUGUGUGUGUGUGUGUGUGUGUUGUAUCUAAGUGUUUUAGCAUGUGGUAGCAGUGGACCAAGCAGCAGUCCUGUGAGUGGUGUUAGGUCCCUGUGAGUGGGUGUGUAUGGUCUGGGUUGCCAUUUAUCCACACCCACGCCUCUCUCAAUCCAUCUCUAGUCUCUCUCCAUCCAUCUCUAGUUUCUAUCCUCUAUCCAUCCAUCUUUAGUCUCCAUCCGUCUUCUCUCCAUCCAUCCUCUCCUGUGGACCAAGGAGCAUUCCAUCCGGUAAUUGUUGCAUGAGAUUCUGUAUUACAUUGACAAACACAUAUAUGCAUGAACACAUAUGUACACAACACCUGCGACUACACUAAAUACACACACACACACACACACACACACACACACACACACACACACACACACACACACACACACCUUCAGGGGAUGUUCUCCUUGCUGUAGAACAAACAACAGGACAAUUGUAUUGAUUUAAUUAGCAAAAGCUUCUGUUCUAAAGUAAAGCAUUUCAAUGAUUGGACUAUAGUAUUAUAGGGUUAUGAAAUCCAAUAGUUCUGGCCUCAUCACCCUGCUACAAGCUGUGUCCAAACAUCUCGCCAAUAAUGAAGAGAGAGAGAGCAUUGUUGAUCUGUCAGGUCAAGGUCGGGCUGCUUCUGGAUCAGCUGGAUUGAUCUGUGGACAUAAACAUGUAUGCUGGGCCCGUACACGCCUAUGAUUGAGGACUUUGGGAGUUUGUGUGUGUCCUCUGUUAAGGAUCAUUCAUCUGUGUGUGCGUCUGGCCGCUGGUGGGGGUUAUUCAGUGUGUGUGUGUGUGUGUGUGUGUGUGUGUGUGCCCUCUGGUACAGGGUGUGUGUGUGCGUGCCCUCUGGUACGGGGUGUGGGUGUGUGUGUGCGUGCCCUCUGGUAUGGGGGGUGUGUGUGCCCUCUGGUACAGGGUGUGUGUGUGCGUGCCCUCUGGUAUGGGGGGUGUGUGUGCCCUCUGGUACGGGGUGUGUGUGUGUGUGUGUGCCCUCUGGUACAGAGUGUUUGCGUGCCCUCUGGUACAGAGUGUUUGCCCUCUGAGGUGGGGUGAUAGAAAGAGGGAAGGAGAAAGGUGAGAGUGAAAGAGAGCAGCGGAGAUGGAAAGGUAGAGGGAGAGAGUUCAGCCUUUGACCUAUGACCCACAAGUUAAAUAUGUCCUCCCUCUUCAACCUGAUCUCUUCAAGCUGUGUGGUCUUCAUUUCCACCCGUCACUGGAUGCUUCAUGACCUUUAACCCAGCCUAUACGGAUAAUAUGUAUACAGUGAGAAUACAUUCAUUCAACGUUAAUUCAACAUUUUGGGAUCGAGAUUGUAAGAGUUGACUCUGGGUUGUGAGAGGUAGCAUUUGAGAGGUAGUGUAAGGAGGAUGUUGUUUUUACCUGACAACUGCUGCUGAAGUUUUGAAUGUAGCUGAGGCACAUGCUACCUUAAGGUGUUUACAUUGGCGGCAGUUGGUGUUCUGGUUGUUUACUUGCUGUCAAUGGCAAUUCCCUAUUUGGUGGAGGUUGAGAAACACCAUGGAAGCCAUCUGGUAAACCACUCUAAACAGGGCAGAUGACAUUGUUAUGGCAUUGUUCAAAAAUACAUACAGCGCAGUGAGUUUCCCUGCCAUAUUCAACAUACUCUGUAGUCGACCGAAGAUACAGUACAUGAGCACCACAACCUGAGGACUUUAAAGUCCAUCCAAACAGCUCAAUACAUACUGGAAGUUGAAAUGAUGUAGUCCAGCUUAGUAGGGAAGUAAAUGUAGUGACACUUUAGGAAGGGAAAGCAAGUGUCACUGUGUACAGUGCCUUCAGAAAGUAUUGACACCCCUUAACUUUUUCCACAUUUUCUUGUGUUACAGCCUGAAUUUAAAAUUGAUUAAAUUUAGAUUUUGUGUCACUGGCCUAUACACAAUACCCCAUAAUGUCAAAAUGUCAAAGUAUGUUUUUCUACAUUUUACAAAUUAAUUAAAAAUGAAAAGCUGAAAAGUCAUCAACCCCUUUGUUAUGGCAAGCCUAAAUAAGUUCAGGAGUAAAAAUAUGCUUAACAAGCCAAAUAAUAAGUUGCAUGGACUCACACUGUGUUCAAUAACAGUGUUUAACAAUGUUUUUGACUUGACUAUCUCUGUACCCCACACAUACAAUUAUCUGUAAGGUCCCUCAGUCGAGCAGUGAAUUUCAAACACAGAUUCAACAACACAGACCAGGGAGGUUUUCCAAUGUCUCCCAAAGAAGGGCACCUAUUGGUAGAUGAAGAAUACAUUUUAAAAAUCAGACAUUGAAUAUGCCUUUGAGCAUGGUGAAGUUAUUAAUUACACUUUGGAUGGUGUAUCAAUACACCCAGUCACUACAUAAAUACAGGCACCCUUCCUAACUCAGUUACUGGAGAGGAAGGAAACCUCUCAGGGAUUUCAACAUGAGGCCAAAAAGUUACAGAGUUUAAUAGCUGUGAUAGGAGAAAACUGAGGAUGGAUCAACAACAUUGUAGUUACUCUACAAUACUAACCUGAAUGACAGAGGGGAAAGAAGGAAGCCUGUACAGAAUACAAGUAUUCCAAAACAUGCAUCCUGUUUGCAAUAAGGCACUAAAUCUAUGGCAAGACUUGAAAAUGGUUGACUAGAAAUGAUCAACAACCAACUUGACAGAGCUUGAAGAAUUAAAAAAAUAAUGAUGUGCAAAUAUUGUACAAUCUAGGUGUGCAAAGUUCUUAGAGACUUACCCAGAAAAACGCACAGCUGUAGUUGA